CCUACGGGAGGCAGCAGUCGAGAGGCUUCGGCAAUGGGGGCAACCCUGACCGAGCGACGCCGCGUGGGUGAUGAAGUUUUUCGGAACGUAAAACCCUGUCAGGUGGGAGGAAACACCAUUCGGUCAAUACCCGAGUGGCUUGACAGUACCACCAGAGGAAGCUCCGGCUAACUCCGUGCCAGCAGCCGCGGUAACACGGGGGGAGCAAGCGUUGUUCGGAUUCAUUGGGCGUAAAGAGCUCGUAGGUGGCUCUGUAAGUCGGGGGUGAAAGACCACAGCUCAACUGUGGAAACGCCUUCGAAACUAUGGAGCUUGAGGCUGGGAGAGGAGAUCGGAAUUCCUGGUGUAGCGGUGAAAUGCGUAGAUAUCAGGAGGAACACCGGUGGCGAAGGCGGAUCUCUGGACCAGUUCUGACACUGAGGAGCGAAAGCCAGGGGAGC
rnacentral:rRNA from 1 species